AUUGAACGCUGGCGGCAUGCCUUACACAUGCAAGUCGAACGGUAACAGGUCUUCGGAUGCUGACGAGUGGCGAACGGGUGAGUAAUACAUCGGAACGUGCCUAGUAGUGGGGGAUAACUACUCGAAAGAGUGGCUAAUACCGCAUGAGAUCUACGGAUGAAAGCAGGGGAUCGCAAGACCUUGUGCUACUAGAGCGGCCGAUGGCAGAUUAGGUAGUUGGUGGGAUAAAAGCUUAUCAAGCCGACGAUCUGUAGCUGGUCUGAGAGGACGAUCAGCCACACUGGGACUGAGACACGGCCCAGACUCCUACGGGAGGCAGCAGUGGGGAAUUUUGGACAAUGGGCGCAAGCCUGAUCCAGCAAUGCCGCGUGCAGGAUGAAGGCCUUCGGGUUGUAAACUGCUUUUGAACGGAACGGAAAGCCCCGGGUUAAUACCCUGGGGUCAUGACGGUACCGUAAGAAUAAGCACCGGCUAACUACGUGCCAGCCGCCGCUGUAA
rnacentral:rRNA from 1 species